CAAAACUCCCUUGUGGUAAAGUAGUUGCUUUGAAGAAACUUCAUCAUUUAGAAGCCGAAAAUCCAACUUUUGACAAGAGUUUCAGGAACGAGAUCAAGUUUCUAUCAGAAAUACGACAUCGAAACAUAGUGAAGCUUCACGGGUUUUGUCUACACCGACGAUCCAUGUUUUUGAUCUAUGAAUACAUGGAAAAAGGGAGUUUGUUCUGCAACCUAAGGGAUGAAGUGAACGCUGUGGACAUGGAUUGGACGAAAAGAGUAGAGAUCAUCAAAGGCAUAGCACAUGCUUUGUCUUACUUGCACCAUGAUUGCUGCCCUCCGAUAGUUCAUCGAGACAUAUCAAGUAACAAUGUUCUUUUAAACUCAAGUUUUGAGGCCUUUGUGGCCGACUUUGGAACAGCUAGAAUGUUGGAUCUUGAUUCAUCUUAUCAGACCAUUAUUGUCGGAACUUGUGGCUACGUAGCUCCAGGUGGCGUUUUCUUUUUUACUUGAUUUACUGACCUUUUCUCUGAACAUAUAGUUGAAUUUCUUCUUACUAAUUUGUGUAGGUAGAACUUGCUUAUACAAUGAUUGUCACCGAAAAAUGCGAUGUUUAUAGUUUUGGAGUGAUAGCACUGGAAACAUUAAUGGGAAAGCAUCCUGAAGAAGUGUUAUCAUGGUUGUCAUCACCAACUUCUUUGGUAAACAUGAAGCUGGUUGAUGUGUUAGACAACCGUUUACCACUUCCAACAAGUCAACUAGUUACACAAAAUCUUGUUCAUGUUGAUACACUGGCAUUCGCUUGCUUAAAUCCACAAACGAAGUCCCGACCAACAAUGAAGGAAGUGUCUGAAUGGUUCCUUUCUCGCCAUACAUCCUUGGGAAUUCCUCUUUGGAUGAUCUCUUUGUUACAACUCAUGAACCGUGAAAUGCAUAUUAAAGGCAAAACUAAAACUUGUGAUGUUUAAAGUCCAUGCGCUUGUUGAUUAGAUAUUGUUUAUCAUGCUCUGAUAAUUUGUUUGUAAACCAUCUCUGGUUUUAUAUAUGAUGGAAUGAAUUGCAAUGUUUAAUAAACCCGUUUAUUCGGUUGCUUUAGAAGACAUAAAUUCUACAAUUUGAUCCAAAUAUUAAGACAUCAUCGCUGGCUGCUUCCUUGAAUUUUGUGCUUCUUUCAAACCAACUCAAAGAUAAAUAACAUAAAAGUAAAUUAAGGGUGAAUCAAAGCAACAAAAUGCAAUCAAUACAUACAUCAAGAAUUCACCUCAGCUAUCUAUAAUUCAUGAAACAAUCUCUCAACUUAUAAAAUGUAAGUGAGACUCCACAGACCUGAUAUCCAAACUCAAAAGCAAUAAAAGGCGUCAUCAGAACCCUGGCAAGUGAAGACGACAAUCUUUUCAAGCAAGGUAGCGAUACAACUUCCUGUCACCUUUAUCCCUCUCCAGGAACUCCCGCUCAAUAAGGGACUCGAUCCGUUUCUUAAUUACAACGGGGUUGGGCAGAAACCGUGACUGUAGCUGUUUUGUGACCUCAGCAACAAUGUUGUUAUGAUCCAGCACACGCCUAGCUUUCAUGAUCCUCACGAUUGCUGCCUCAAUUUGCGGUUUUCGAUCUUCCUCCACUCUCUGCCUAGUUUCUUGAUUUUCAGGUUCCGACUCCCUUUGCGCAGCCACAGUGCCUAUCUUGACCUUGAAGAACUUGCUUGUAUACUUGUCAUUGAAAAGAAAGGUAUCAGUGUCUACUAUGUCCUUGCUCAUAGGUUCUUUCCGAAGCACAUUUUUUCCCUUAACACAGGCAAGAGACUGCAAGCACCUUUUCAAGUCAAAGGUAGGAAUCUCGGUCACCUGCUCAAUCUCCUUAUAGCUUAGUCGAUCAGCAUCGUUGAAGAGCAUAAGGACACACAUCUGGUAUGUGGAAACAUUCAGUUCAUGCUUCUGUCCCUUACCAAAGGUUGCCUUCAAAUCAGCUGUCCCCAUGUUAGUUUGCCAAGACAAUCUCCGUCCGGUAUGGGUACCUAGGUAAUAAUUACGGAAUUUCUCACAUAUUCCCAGAAUUUCAGCAGGAAGUUUGCAUGUAGUAAUAGGUUGAGUUGGCCAAGAUCCAGUUGUCAGAACCUGGACAGAAAGCAUGGGACCAUCCCCUAUAUCCGAACCAUGACUUGCAUGGAAACCUUGCAUCGUAUCUUGUGAUGUCUUCAUAUCUGUGAACAUACCCUCCAACUUUGAGGUGAAUUGAUACCCACACUCUGUUUUGAGCUUAACAAUCAAACUUCUUUCAGCAUCAUCAGAGACGGACUUCCCUGAAAGAAGCCUUUUGGCCAAGUGUUGUUUGUAGUACUUCUCGAAAACAUCUUUCUCUUGAAGGUAACGGAAGAGCAUCAUCACCUUGUCGAGUAACAAUUCCACAUCCUCUUCAGUAACCCCCCUCAAACCUUUUCGAAGCUUAUCAUCAACAAACAAAGAGAUGAACUCUGGAGACCGAGAAUUCAGAUUGAUGAAAUAUUCAAACGAGGAAUUUAAUGCAUUUUGAAAAGUCUUGUCAUUUCUAAAUGCUGAAGUGAUAAUCUUGUCGUAUUUGUCCUUUAAAUCCAACAGAUGUUGCACAAAAUCGACAGGAUCCUUCAGCCUUUCGGGAUCAGUGAGUAACUGCUUACCAGUAUCACGAAUGUAUGAAGUCAUGACAUCUCUGAUUAAAACAAGCCCAUUGGAUACUCGACGAAACAAGUAAUACAUCCUUCCUAAGUCCUCAUAUUUUUCAUCGACAAUCAUAUUAAUCAACCCCGAGUUCUCCAUUUGCACAAGCCUGUGCAUAUGACUUUCAAUCAUCUCCGUUUCUACCACAUUUGUUAUCUUGACUUCACUUCUGGUGUCCAAGUAAUGUGAGACUCUCUCUAUUUCUUCAUUUAGGCGUCUCUCGGCUUUCUUUAGAUACUCCCCACAAUCACAUUACAGUCAUCUUCUAACCCACAAUCAUUUGUGCUAUGAGCUUUUGGGCACUAUUCCGGAUAAAAUGGACGGAGGCAAGAUCGAGAUGGGCUAGUUGCGAGACACACUCCUGGAUCCGGAUGAAGAUUCAACCGAAAUAGAAAGAAUCCGAUAUGCUCGGGCAUACAUUCUUCAGUUAAUUGGAGGUUAUCUAAUGAUAGACUUGUCACGGAGCCGCGUACAUCUAAUAUGGCUGCUGAAACUCGUUGAUUUUAGAGCAGCUGGUGAAUUCAGUUGGGGGUCUACCGUCUUGGCCACAUUAUAUCGGGAGAUGUGCGGGGCGACGUGACCGAGGAGAGUAAAAAUCAGAGGUUGCCUGUCACUACUGCAAUCAUGGGCACGGUUUCGCUUUCCAUUUUUAUGUCCUCGAGUGGACCACCCAUAUACAUUCCCAUUCAUAACGAGGUAAAUUUUAUAUUAGAUUUUACAAUUAUUAUGUAGAUAUUUAAAAAUAAAAGUAUGCUAAAAGUUUAUUUAAUUAGGUGGAACCAUCCGGCAAGUCAUGCUCGAUUACCUACCGAACUUGAAAAUAUACGGCUUCUAUUAGACCAACAGUCGGAAGCACAUGUAAGUAUUAAAUAAAAUUGAUAUUUCCAUCAUUCGCUAGUCGAUUGGUAAAUAGUAUUUAGUAUUUAGUAUUUAGUAUUUAGUAUUAUGUAUAUAACUAAUAUUUCUAUAAUGUUCACAUAGUUUCAAUGGACACCAUACGAGGAUCCGGCAAUUUGGGCAAUAAUUCCGGAUGAGUUCUUACAAAAUCGAAACGCUUGGCACGUGAAAGUCGUGUUGAUCAACUACACGACCAUGGAGCCACACCAGUCAGACAGAGUGCUACGACAGUUUGGAUGUAGACAACUAAUUCCCGUGGAACCUGAGGUGUUUGACGAUCAACACAAAAUCGACCUUCGGCAAUUGAAUACGGAUUGGCCAAGAUACUGGUUCGAGUACAUGGAAAUGUGGGAAGAUCGGUAUGAAUACAUACCUACUCUGGAACCAAUCAUCGUUCCGGAGUUAGUGUGGGUGCUGGAAUACAUGUCAUGGUUUAGGAUUCAUGGCAAGCUGUAUUUACUGACGCCAGAGGAGAGGCAGCGGCAAUUACGUGUCCAAAGGGAAAGGCGCAGGCCUCAAAAUCCAAGACGACAAGACGACGACGCUAGCCCCUCAACGAGGCCUAGACAUUCACCCGGCCCAUCAUCAGAGGUCAUGCAAUCACUAGGCCCAACGAGAGUACCGACACAGUCACCUGACCCAGCAGUCCAACCGAUGAUACCCACGCAACCGCUUUUUCAGAUGAUGCCAGGUGCGUUUCCUAGCCUUUUUAUAUAUCCUAACCCUUAUAUGUAUCCUUUUCCGAGUCCUAAGGCAGGUUGGAGCCAAUGGCCCGGUUCAGCUCCGUUUCCUGUUACGCCGAGUGGACCGCCGAUGUAUAGGUCAGCAGCACACGAGGGAUCGCAAGAGGGGCCGUCGAGGAGCUCUUCUUUUUACCAAUCCCCACCACCGUAUGAGUUUCAAACACCGUCACCGUUGGUGAUGCAAAAACCUCCACAUUCACUAUUCUUUGAAGGUGGAUCAUCGUCCCAACUCCGACAACCAGAUACCCUACCAGAAGAACCAGAAUCCCCGCCACAGGAACCACAACCGCCACCGGAAGCUGGACAAAGGAGGCAUCCAGCGCGUAACCAUCGACGGCCGCCAUGUGGCACUGAAUCCAGCGGGCACAGACAUUGAUUUUUGUAUUUAAAUUUAUUUGUACAAAUAUUUUGAAUAUUUUGAUACUAUUUGAUGUAAUAAAAUAGAAAUUGUUUUGAGUUAUUACUUAAAACCCUAAACUAAUUUCUUAAAAAUUUAUAAAUCUAUAAUUUAUAAUUUAAUUGACAAACCUUAAACCCCAAAACUAAAAACCCUAACCCUAAUCAUAACCCUUAACUUAAAAACUCUAACCUUUAAAUUAAAAACACUAAACCCUAAACCUAAAAACCAUAAACCCUUAAGCUAAAAACCUAACCUUAGACCCUAACCAUUAACCUAAAACACUAACCUUAAACCCUAAACUCAUAAACCUAAAUACCCUAACCCUAAACCCUAAACCCUUAACCUAAAAACCUUAACCAUUAACCUAAGAACCCUAAACCCUUAACCUAAAAACCCUAACCCUCAACCUAAAAACCUUAAACCCUUAACCUAAAAACCCUACACACUAAACUUAAAACCCUAAACCCUUAACCUAAAAAUCCUAACCCUUAACAUAAAAACCUUAAACCCUUAACCAAAAAACCCUAUACACUAAACUUAAAACCCUAAACCUUAAAUCUAAAAACCCUAACCCUUAACCUAAAUUUCAUAAACCCUUAACCUAAAAACCCUAACCCUGAACCUAAAUUCUAUAAACCCUUAAUCUAAAAACCCUAACCCUAAACCUUAACCUAAAAACCUUAACCCUCAACCUAAAAACCCUAACCCUUAACCUAAAAACCCUAAAUGCUUAACCUAAAAACCCUAACCCUCAACCUAAAAACCCUAAACCCUUAACAUAAAAACUCUACACACUAAACUUAAAACCUUAAACCCUUAACCUAAAAACUCUAACCCUUAACCUAAAAACCUUCAACCCUUAAACUAAAAACCCUAACCCUCAACCUAAAAACCUUAAACCCUUAACCUAAAUUCCAUAAACCCUUAACCUAAAAACCCUAACCCUUAACCUAAAUUCCAUAAACCCUUAACCUAAAAACCCUAACCCUCAACCUAAAUACCCUAAACCCUUAACAUAAAAACCCUAACAUAAAGGCUUAAAAACUAUCCUUGUCCCUUAACUUAAAUAUAAUUUGAUAAUUUUACUAACCAUUAAUACAAUUAUCAGUUAAUAACUUUACAUUCACGUAAUGUUAGAUUUGGAAAAAUGUUUUGACUAGUACUAACAAUUAAUAAUUUUAUAUAAUUUUAUAAUUUUUCUAACAAUUAAUACAAUUAUCAAUUAAUAAUUGAAAAAAUAUAAUUAGCAGCAAUUACAUUCAACUAUUGCGAUUAGGGCAUGAUCGACUUGUAUGGCCUAGAUUCCUACACCAUCCGCACAACUUUUGUUGACUGGCUGUUUCUCGGAUAGCCAUAUUGUUGCGUAUUCUAGUCGAGCAAGGUCGACCCCUUGGUUUGCGACGCAAUUUUCUAUCCAGUAACAGCUUAAAAUGAGCAAGAGAUACGGGCAGCCACUUACGUUCAUCUGGGGCCAGUGGGAAAACGUGUCUCUAGAUGUUGUACAUGUUUUCUAAUUUGUACACUUCGUCCACAUAGCUCAUCGGAUCCAGACGGAGAUUCUGACAAGAUACAAUAACAUGAGAGCAUGGAUAACAAAGUGCAUCAAAACUCUCACGGUCGCAAGUCCUAUUUCGCAAGUCUACAUGAUAUUGCCCACCAACAACACUUUGGAGCGGUCUAUCAAACUCUGUCACGCGAAACAAUAAGUUGUCUCAAUCGUGACACACGGUGUGCAUGGUGUUUGCCCGCGCCUUGGCCUUGUGAAUUUCUUAAACUACCUUGCUGCACCAUACAUGGCCUCUCUGCAUCUGGCCUGCAUAACUUGCUGCUCGCUUUGGAAAUAGUGCCACCAAACGAAAAUAUGUCUCUCGCACAACUGAUGUUAUCUGUAGAUGACGCAUUUUUUUAAGAACAGAAUUUAUGCAUUCAGCCAAGUUUGACGUCAUAUGGCCAUAUCGUAGGCCGUCGUCGUAUGCUUGUGCCCACUAUUUGAAACGUAUGUUAAAAGGUAGUACGCCCCUCCUUUGUUAAUUGAACGUAAAAUUGCCAACAUCUCGUGAAAACGGUCUUUAUUUAUUUCAUACCCUACCAAUAUAAGUUCAUAGAGAAUAUUACAUGCCACUUAUACUAAUAAAACUAAUUCAAAUUGACAAACGAAAAACACAAAUAUAGACUAAAUACACAUGUUGGUCACUUGUCGUCAUUCGUUCUUAGAUGGAUAUUGACUGUAGUAGUUGGGAGCAACGUGUCUUAGGCAAUAUCGAUGGUGCGUGCGCUGCCAUAAGCUUCCCUCUCGAUCAAAUGCAACUAGUAUAUCGGUGCCCCGAUCUAAAAUAACACAGAUAUCAGGUUGGGGGCACACAUGCCUCCUUAACCUAGAGAGAAAGAAAUCUCAAUCAUCAGAUGACUCCCCCGGUGUUAUUGCAAAUGCAAUUGGAAGAAUUCUCCCACCGCCAUCCUGUGCCACUGCAAGCAAUAGCCGAUGAGUAUACCUACCAAACAUAAAGGUACCGUCAAUUUGUACCAAUGGCUUACAGUAUGGAAAUGCGUCUCGGCAUUGCUUAAAGGUCCAAAACAGGUGUUUGAACACUCGGCAUCCACGUAGCAAUCGGCCGUUGUAGUACGCAUGUUCCGUUUGAAGGUCUAUGAUGGCACCUGGGACGUACCUCUCUAGCACUUGACACCACUGCCAUAUUUUAUUAUAUGAGGCAUCCCACCCACUAUGCAUCUUCUCCAAUUCCUUUUGCUUAGCUAUCCAAGCCUUGCGGUAAGACGGCGUGUACCCUAUUUGGCUACAGAUAUUGGCAAUUAACACCGGCACUGAAGUCUUGGGAUCUGCUUUUACCGUGGGCAGUAUCAAGCUAGCUAACAUAGCUAAAUCCAUCUUGGGAUGAUCUUGUAAAACACCUAUAAUUGGAGUACAUUAAAUAAUGCAACAUUACAUAAUAAAAGUAUUAUUCAGAAACCGUCAAUAUUGUACCUACAGCACAUGUAUGUGGACCUUUGUACUUUUUAAUCUCCCACAACCCUGUCCUUUUCCUUAACGAGGCGUAGGUUUUCCAUGAACAUGUGCCGUCUUGUACCGCAUACUUCACCUCAAACUUAUCAAAUUUCAAUUUAACGACGUGGUAGUUAACGUCGUUUUUGAUGCUAUGUUGUUUCAAAGCACCAAUAAAACUAUCCUUGUUGGUAAACUGAUUGCCAACUUUAAAUUCACCCGAAUCUAGCCCCGAACUUGUACGAUCACGCAACAGGUGUGGUAGAUCUGGAAACUCUAACGUAUCAUCUGCAGACAGAUCGACAUUAUGUAUGUGGGCUAGAGGUGAGUAUACUCUGAAUCAUGGAUUUUCUUCUUCAAUUGAACUCCUUUCAGCAUCUUCAUGUUCUGUUGGAAUAGGCUCCGGUUCAGAAAAUAAGCCAACUUCUGCACCAUCGGGCCCGAGCUCUCGAGGUGGAUCCACAUUACAGUCAUCUUCUAACCCACAAUCAUCUGCAGCGUACGAGGUCCCCUCACCGGUUGACGUCGUAGGGUGUACAUCAUCCCUUCUUCUGGGCAUUUCAUAACGUCCCCAAUUGGAUGUAGAUUGCCACCCACUAGAACUUGAUGUCGUUCCCUAAUACGUAUUUCUAGCAUCAAACGUCGAGCCACUGACGUACAUAUCCCAUCCACCAACAGAGUGUCUUGCAGGGGAUGUGCAUUCGACACCACUAUCAAAUAUGGGCUAUUCUGUGUUUUGUAACCUGCUAACCCAGUGUCAACUAGUGGUCAUGUAUACAUCUCGAACACCAGUCGCAAGUACAUCAUUUGGCGGUGUAAAUUGUACAUAUAACUCAAUAUAAGGUGCUCCACUAGCAAAAUGAGUCUGCACAAUUGCCUCCAAGUUACGAGCACCUUUUAUGUCGAACGAGUCAUAUGUCACCGGAUCAACAGAAGAACAAAAUCAACACGUGAUAGACAGAACUUUCAUUGGUGUCGUUCCAAAAAUUUUACGCCUAAUUCUUUUACGAAGUUUUGUCAAAUCUAUGUUCUGGUUAAAAACCAGUCGCACCGUAUUCUCCGAUAAAAAAACAACACCAUUCUCGGUAUGGCAAACCUCACCAUCGUAGUAAAUAACAGCACUAAUAUGUUCACUCAUAUUUGAAACUCUAACCUUCUUAGCCUCUCUAAAUUGUUUCUGCUGUGACUUAUGCAUUUUGAGAACAUUUUUUGCCUCAUUUAUAGCCUCAGCCCAAACAUGCUAUUGUAGCAAAAGCGCAUCCACGUGGGCACGAUUUCAUAAAUUCUUCUCAUAAAGCUUUUUUUUGGUAAAUUUAAAAAAAUAGGCUUUUUUUGGUAAAUUGCCCUCAAUUGGGUGCAAAAAGUUCGUAGGGGCUUAAUUGAUUUUUUUCGAAAAAGUUCGACGAUCAAAAAUACCUUUAAGCCCUACUUUAACUAUUGAUAUGUCUUUUUUAAUUAAUUUUACAUUCGUGCAUAGUAUAGGCACACAAUGUACGAGGUGUUUCCACGUAUACAUGUAAAGUGCAUUUUGAUGCCACGAAGGAAUUAGAUAAAAAUGUGAUUGUUAAGUUAGUAAUGUCACCUUCUAGUAAUUGAAAAGAAUUAGAUGCAUUUAGCUAGUAGAGUGUAAUUAUAUUGUAAUUCUUUGUGCCUUGUUUAGUAAUAUAAAUUGUAAUUACACAUUUACAAAUUUUAAAUUGUUUAAAAAGUAUUAAUUAAUAUAAAUAUUUAUCAAUAAUAUCUGAGAAAAAAUUUUAAACAAGUGACAUAAAUUAAAAUCAAAUCAUGUUAUGUUAGUCCAAGAAAAUAACCGACAACAUGAUUACCGAUAAAAAAAAAUAAAAAUAAACAUUAUAUGCAACUUUAUUAUUGCUUUAGCAUUCCAUGUUUGUUGGGUUAUUCCUUUUCUAACAUUUAACAUCUACUUCUUAUCAUCAUCUAUUAGUUCUUGACCAAUUUCUUCAUUGUUGAUACAAGGUACAACAAUGGAGGGGAGUAAGGAGGAGGUAAGGUGGAGUGAGUGGUGGUUUUGUGGAGGCCGGUUCACUUAAAGAGGUGGAGAGCCGAAAAGGAACAAGAGGAUAGGCUGAUUGCUGAAAGUGGAGAUGGCUGCUCAGAGUAACUUUAAGGAUUGGAAAAUCGAUCCAUUCUUCAUCGUUGGAAAGGUAUUUAUAAGAGAGGUCCACUUGUCCAUUAGCAUGACAUGGCAGGAUAAAUGUUCAGUCCCACCAAAUGUGUAAAGGAUAUUCAUGAACAUAAAGGAUAUUCAUGAUGGGCCCCAUUAUGUUAUUCAUUUGAUCAAUACAAGGUUGUUAUGCCCAUGCAAGUCCUAAUGGACUCAAGGAUGUGUUCACACCAAAAAAGGGGGUGCCAAGCCUUUCUAAAGGGUUGGUGCUCCUUUGAUCUUAGUGGAUGGUCCAGUGAGACAUCUUCUUAGGAAAACUCAAUGAGAGGGUUAAUGUUGUCUAUACUAUUGACACGUGUCCAUGUGGCGGGGAUAUAACAUUCAUCAUCUACAUCAAAAUCUGAAUAUGCAUCAUUAAGAUUAUUGAAAUCAUUUUUUUAUUUGUAUCAUUAAGAUUAUCAAGAUCUUUUUUUUUUCAUGUACUAUUUAAAAGUAUUGAUAAUUCCAAUUCCACCUAUAAAUGGAAUUGUGAAGUAUACAACAAGUUAGAACGAUUGAACAUUGUUUUUUGGACUAUAUUGAUGUGGUUUGUUAAUAUGAGAAAUAUUUUUUUAGAACAACAAAUAUCCUCUCAACCACAUUUCAAAGCUUUGAAUAAAGAGUUUGCGAGCUGUGUUUGGUACUUGUGUCUAGCUCUAUUCUUUCAAAUGAUAUCAUACCCCGUGAUAUACUGCAAAAAACCUUUUGCAUUUGCAUAAUCAAUAUCUAUCACAUAAUAUUUCCUAAAAAACAUGUAACAAUUUAAAUGAUUUGUGAGAAAAAUAAAAUAACAGCAAGGUGAUGAUAAUAUUAAUGUAUUUAUGAAGUACAAUUUUGAUCUAUUUUCUCUCUCAAACAUCAUUCUUAGCAUUCUAGUAUUUGAGGCACAAAUCAACUUUAUAAUCCUUCAAUUAUAAUAGUUUUUAUAAAUCUAAUUUGCAGUUUACUAUGUGUUCAAUAAUAAACCAACUUUAUAACCUUUUUAUAAUAUUUCGAUUGCUAUUAUUUCAUGCAAUUUAGAUAAAUAUAUAUAUAAAUUUUAUAAUAUAACAUUUAUAAACAAUGUUUUUAUAAAGUGCUGAAUAGCUUUUAUGGUGCUUAUGUUAAAGUGCUCAAAUAUGUGUCACACAAUAAUAGUAUAAAAAUUAUAACACACGAUUUAUAAGCAUAAUUUGCUAGGUUAAAAUUUGCUUUAAAAAAAUACAGGAGUUAGGUGACAUGGCAAGGGUUUCUCCUACCUUAAUCAAUAAUCGAGGGUUUGAUCCUUACUCUAGGUAUGGAGUAGUUUUAAAACUUGUGGCCAGUAUCUACCCCCUUAAUGGGCUUACAGAAUGUGAAAGAUUAGUUAUCGGGCUUGCUUAGGUAGAUAGAUUGAGAAAUCAAAAAAAAAUUACACAAAAUAUUUUGACUUAUGUGUCUAAUAGCAAAGCAAUUUUGACCCGAUAAGAUAUAUAUAAUUAUACUUAAAAAAAUAUAAAAUAUAUGUCCUAAAAUUAAAAUAUAUUAUUAUAUUAAAAUAUUUUUUGUAAAUUAAAAUAUAUUAUUAUUGCAUUAAAAUAAUUUUUGUAAACUUGUAUAAAAAAUAAUUUCUUAAAUCAUGUACAUGUGUUUAAAAAACUAUAAGGUAAUUAGUAAUUUAUUGUAAUUACUCGCGUAAUUACCCCAACUCUCAACCCCUAAAAAUUGAAUAGCAUAAUUGAGGUGCUAAAAUUACAUUCAAUUUAGUGAACCCACAAAUCACAAUGGUUUUCUAAACACGCCACACAUUUGCAAUAGCAAGUAAUUGCACUCAAAUCUAAUAUUUGCAUGAAAUAUUUGAAUUUAUAUGUCUAAUAGCAAAGCAAUUUUGACCCAAUAAGAAAUAUAUAAUUAUAUUUUAAAAAUAUAAAAUAUAUGUUCUAAAAUUAAAAUACUUUAUUAUUAUAUUAAAAUAACUUUUAUAAAUUUGUAUAAAAAAUAAUUUCUUAAAUCAUGUACGUAUGUUUGAAAAACUAUAAGGUAAUUAGUAAUUUAUUGUAAUUACUCGCAUAAUUACCCAACUCUCAACUCUCUAAAAAUUAAAUAGUAUAAUUGAGGUGCUAUAAUUACAUUUAAUUUAAUGGACCCAUCAAUAACAAUAGUUAGUCAAACAUACUAUACUUUUAUAAUAGCAAUUAAUCACACUCAAAUCUAAUAAUUAAUUUAUAUUGAAAUCUUCAAAAUCAUAUACUUUGUGGUCCAAGUUAAACUGAUUUUUUUUUUCAAAACAAUUGCAAAGAAAAUUCAUGAAAUUAAGUUGUUUUCAAAUAAUUAAUUCACAUUGGGAUUUUCAAAUAAAAUGUCACAUUAAUAAUAUUUCAAUCAUUAAAAUAUUAUGUAAGACAUUUUGCUUAUACAAGAAAUAUGAAAAAUUCUAAAAUUUAAUCCAGUUUAAUCUGCUGAAGGAAAUGACUCUAACACUGACCUAAUUCAAUUAAGCCUCUGAAAUUAGCUUAACUUCAUAAAACUUAAUCCAGUUUAGUCAUUCUAAAGUCUCUAAUUUUGUUUAAAAGAGUUUUUAAAUAUAUAAAUGAUUUUAAAUUUGUAUGUUUUAAUAUGAAAUUCAUUAUAUUGUAGUAAGAUUUAAUGUGGCAUGUUUAAAAUUUUAAUUUAACUCAAAUAAUUUCAUUUAAUUUGGCUCGACUCAAAUUUUAUUUCACUUGAUUCGAUUUGAAAAAAAAUUCAAAUUGAAUUAGAAUGAUAAAAUGAGACUCGUCAACUCGAAAUUAUUUUACUCGAUUCGAUCCAACACUCACCCUUAGUAAUUGCAUCAUUGAUACUAAUAACAACAUAAAAAAUGUAUACUUAUCUUUUCUAAUCAAUAUGCAGGCACGAAAUGGAAAUUUCCAUGAGAAAGAAGUAUAUCGCGUAUGAAAAAGUAAGUUCCAUGACAUCGGCUGAAGCAAUAACAACAAAUGCAAAAAGACAUUGACUCCUAUGGAAAUCCAUCAGUUUGGAAACUAUAACGUAUAUGCUACGACUCGGUGUUUUUUGGUGUGUCACCCGUUAGACUUUCAAUUAUGUUGGUAAUAAAUAUAAUCUAUUUCAAUUAAAAAAAUGAGUAGAAUUUAGUAAUUCAUUAUGACCCAAAUUAUUGGUGAAGUUAAAAUUAAAAUUUUUUCGACAAAAACUUUCAGUACUUAGUACUUAUGUGUAAUUCAAAUCUUUCCAUUAUAUAUCCCAAAUAAGUUAAAAGGCAUGGCGUGGUGUCUACCUUUGCUUAUCCAUGUCAGACUUGCAAUUCUUUAUAUUAACCUUAAUUAUCGGCCUUCAUAAAAAGAUGUGUAAUUAUACAAGUCAAGAGCAAAAAAGAUAUGUUCUCUCAUAUCACUUGGAGUGAUGAGUCCUUUCUGAACCACUCCAUCACCUUCGUAUGUCAUACCAUAUUUAAAACAUUACUUUAAGCACCUAUCAAUGUGAAUCCAUUUGGUGAUGAAUCAAAGUAUGACGGUUAACACAUAAGGAGAGUUUGUGUAAGUCUAAAGAUUGUUUACACUACCAAUACAUGAGACUAUUUCUAUAGGCAUUUGAGUGAAAUACCAAAUGGAACUAUCAUAGCAGGUCAAGUUAUAUUUUAUAAUUUUUUCGAAACUUUUUAAAAAUUAUUCACAUUUUAUUUUUUAUAUUUGUAAUAAAUUUUAUAAUUUUUAUAACUUUUACAUUUUUAAAAUAUUCUAAUAACUUGACAAGCAACAUCAACAUACUUCCACAUGGCAUGUCACAUGUCAACUUGUCAUAGCUUCCGCCAACCACAUCAACAACCAAUAUUGAUAAAAUCAGUCAACAACCGUUUUCGUUAGCGAAAGGAGCCAAUUGAUUUUUUUCUCAUUGAAUGCUCGAUUGGGUCAAUUUUUUUAUUAUGAACUUGAUUGAUUUUUAACUUUUUACUAAGGUGUUUUUUACACUUUAACCUUAUAUUAAUAUUCAUUAUUUUAUUAAAAAACUUAUUUCUAAGUAAUUUUUCCGACCGAAUUGAUAUCGGAUUAACUCCAAUAAAAUAUAUUAUAUAAACAUAUUAAAAUAUAUCAAUAAAGAAAACACCAUUAAUUUGUUUGAAGUCUCGACUUUUUGAGUCUUAAUGGGUGAGAAAUUUCUUAUAUAGAAACUGAAGACGAUAUAUAAAGUAAAUGCCACAUUAAAAGCCCAAUUCUUUGGAAAAUAAAUUCCAUCACGACUGAACCAAAAAUUAAAAUAAAAUCUAUCAUAUUUAAUAUAUUAGUCCAAGAAAAUAAUCGAUAAUAUGAUUACUAAUAAAAAUAACAAGAAAAAUGAUUUAUGUUAGGUUAUAACAAUAUUUUUUUUUUUUUGAACAAUGAGAUUUUGACCUAGACUAUUCCUUGAAAAGGUGAAUACUCGACUAAUAGGCCACAACUUAAAAUUUUUUAAAUUAUAACCAUUUUUAUAAUACAUGAAUUAGGUUUAAAAUAGUAUAAAAUUUAUAAUAUAUACCAACUAUAUAAAAAAUUAUUUAUAAGGUGUCCAAUAACUUCCAAAACACUUCUUAUAAAUAAUAAAUAUUUUUAUCUUAAAAAGUUUUUUUUUUUAAAUAAGUCAUGGAAAAAAAUUAUAAUUGUUUUAUAAAUAAGUAUAUUUUUUUGUAUAACAUAUAGUAUGGACACAUAAAUAAGUUAUAUUUAAAUUUUUUGACCAUAACUUUUUUUUUUAUAAAUAAGUAUUUGCAUAAUAUAGUAUUUGCAUAAUAUAAUGUUUGCAUUAUUGAUACUAACAACAUAGAAAUUUCCAUGAAAAAGGCCUUGAAUCCUUUGAUGAAUUAAGUUCCAUGACAAGGACUGAAGCAAUGACGACAGCUGGCCCCUGCAACUAUUGCAACAAGACCUUGAAUCCUUUGAUGAGUUCCUUUAAAUUCAUCAGUUUGGAAACCAUAACAUAUAUGCUACCACUAAAUCCUUACCAGAUUAAACAUGGCCCCAUCCUUAACCAUUUCUGUUAUUCUAGGGGUACUGUGGGCCACCAUCCUUCUUUCCUUUGCUACAACUGUGACAGCAGCAUAUCCAUCGCCAUUGGAGUCCGAAGCCAUAGCUCUGCUAGAAAGCAGGUGGUGGAGUAACCAUAGCAGCAAUACUUCACAACGUUGCCAGUGGCCUGGUAUAACCUGCAACACUGCUGAAAGCAUCACCCAAAUUAACUUAUCUGAUGCGCCCAACAUUGAGGUUGGAGAUAGAUUUGGGAAACUGAAUUUCUCUUCAUUUCCAAAUCUUGUCCUUCUUGAUCUUAGUGAUCAUCAACUUAGAGGAAAAAUCCCGCAUCAGAUAGGUGAUCUAUCAGCAUUGAAGUACCUUGACUUGUCCAAUUGUGGUUUAUCUGGUGAGUUACCUCCUUCUCUAGGGAAGCUGACCCAAUUAGAAUUCCUCGACAUGUCCUAUAAUGGUAAUAUUAAUGGUUCCAUCCCUCCACAAUUGGGGAACCUAAAGAACCUCGUGACUUUAAACUUAAGGCAAUGUGGAAUUGUUGGUCCAAUCCCUUCUGCUUUGGGUCAAUUAAUCAAUCUCCAAUCUCUGAUCCUUUCGGGGAACCAAAUCAAUGGAUCUAUCCCAUUAGAAAUUGGAUAUUUGAGAAAUUUGACUUAUUUGAGUCUCUCCAACAAUAGAAUUGUUGGUCCAAUCCCUUCUGCUUUAGGUCAAUUAACCAGUCUCCAAUCUCUGAUCCUUUGGGGGAACCAAAUCAAUGGAUCUAUCCCAUUAGAAAUUGGAUAUUUGAGAAAUUUGACUUGUUUGGAUCUCUACAACAGUAGACUUGUCGAUUCAAUACCAAUUACUCUGUACCAAUUAACCAAUUUGGAAAUUUUGUACCUUGAUAAUAACCAACUUCAAGGUUCAAUCCCUUCUUGUGUUGGUAGUUUAUCAAAGAUGCAGUACUUAAGCCUUGAUUCUAAUCUAUUAAAAGGUCCUAUUCCCCAAGAAAUUUGUAAUCUAGCAAAUUUAACUUCAUUGUACCUCUCCCAAAACAAAUUGACAGGUUCAAUCCCUUCUUGUAUUGGUAGCUUAUCAAAGAUGCAGUACUUAUGACUUGAUUCUAAUCUAUUAAAAGGUCCUAUUCCCCAAGAAAUUUGUAAUCUAGCAAAUUUAACUUCAUUGUACCUCUCCCAAAACAAAUUGACUGGUUCAAUCCCUUCUUGUAUUGGUAGUUUAUCAAAGAUGCAGUACUCAAGCCUUACUUCUAAUCUAUUAAAAGGUCCUAUUCCCCAAGAAAUUUGUGAUCUAGCAAAUUUAACUUCGUUGUACCUCUCCCAAAAUAAAUUGACUGGUUCAAUCCCUUCUUGUAUUGGUAGUUUAUCAAAGUUGCAGUACUUAAGCCUUGCUUCUAAUCUAUUAAAAGGUUCUAUCCCAAAAGAAAUUGGCAAGCUUUUUGAUCUAUCAAAUCUAAACCUUAGCUUCAACCAACUCUCAGGUCCUAUCCCUAUCUUGUCUGCUACUCAUCUCUACAUUGUCGACGCUGGAAAUGGUUGUCAAAAGAUUUUUCCCGAUCCAUUUGAAGGCAAUAGUGAUUUAUCACCCUAUAUGUGUCCUACUCCAGUUACCAAAAAAGCCAACAGCAGCAGAAUUCCUUACCAUUUCAAAAUAUUCCUCCCUAUUGCGAUCUUAUUCACAAUCUCCAUUUUAGGAUGUUUGCUAUUUUCACGGUUUAAGCUCAAGAAUAACCAUGUCAACGUACAACCAACCAAGAAUGGGGAUUUGUGUUCCAUAUGGAACUAUGAUGGAAAGAUAGCAUACGAGGAUAUCGUUGCAGCAACAGAGGAUUUCGACUUCCGAUACUGUAUUGGAGUUGGUGGUUAUGGUAGUGUUUACAAAGCAGAACUCCCUUGUGGUAAAGUAGUUGCUUUGAAGAAACUUCAUCAUUUAGAAGCCGAAAAUCCAACUUUUGACAGGAGUUUCAGGAACGAGAUCAAGUUUCUAUCAGAAAUACGACAUCGAAACAUUGUGAAGCUUCACGGGUUUUGUCUACACCGACGAUCCAUGUUUUUGAUCUAUGAAUACAUGGAAAAAGGGAGUUUGUUCUGCAACCUAAGGGAUGAAGUGAAUGCUGUGGAAAUGGAUUGGACGAAAAGAGUAGAGAUCAUCAAAGGCAUAGCACAUGCUUUGUCUUACUUGCACCAUGAUUGCUGCCCUCCGAUAGUUCAUCGAGACAUAUCAAGUAACAAUGUUCUUUUAA
rnacentral:lncRNA from 1 species